UGGGGAAUCUUCCGCAAUGGGCGAAAGCCUGACGGAGCAACGCCGCGUGAAUGAAGAAGGCCUUCGGGUCGUAAAGUUCUGUUGAAAGGGAAGAAGUCUCUUUAUGUGAAUAAUGUAAAGAGGUGACGGUACCUUUUGAGGAAGCUCCGGCUAACUACGUGCCAGCAGCCGCGGUAAUACGUAGGGAGCAAGCGUUGUCCGGAAUUACUGGGCGUAAAGGGCGCGUAGGCGGGAAAUUAAGUUAGGUGUGAAAACGUGGGGCUCAACUUCACGACUGCACCUAAAACUGGUAUUCUUGAGGACAGGAGAGGAAAGUGGAAUUCCUAGUGUAGCGGUGAAAUGCGUAGAUAUUAGGAGGAACACCAGUGGCGAAGGCGACUUUCUGGACUGUAACUGACGCUGAGGCGCGAAAGCGUGGGGAGUGAACG
rnacentral:rRNA from 1 species